AUGAGUGUGGCUACUUUAUAAUGAUAUAUAUGUUGAACAUUAUAUCAGCUGGCAUUACCGACUCAUGGAAUAUGAUUUUUGGAGACGAAACUCCGUUUACUGAUGAUGAAAUGACAAAAGUUCAAGAACGCUGUGCAAGUUUGAUUUUGGAAAGAGUUGAUGUAAUUUAAUUAUGUCAAUAACUAUGUUUUGAAACAAUGUUUAGCUUUUGUUUAAUUUUAUGAUAUUGUAACUUUGGAUUUGUUUGAUAUUGUAACAUUGACAGGUCUGAUAUGAAAUUUGCUCAUAUGAUAUUUCAUAUUA